rnacentral:rRNA from 1 species
UUCCUUAACCACAGUUCACCCGAACGCCUUAGUAUUUUCAACCUGACCACCUGUGUCGGUUUAGGGUACGGGCCAUACACACACAUCGCUAGAGGCUUUUCUCGACAGUACAGGAUCACCACCAUCAACCCCAAUGGGUCUACGCAUCACGUCUCAACCAUAUGUGUGGCGGAUUUACCUACCACACGAUCUACACGCUUACACCACCAAUCCAAUAAGUGGCGUGGCUACCUCACUGCGUCACCCCAUCACUUGAACCACACAUCAGGCCCCACGACAUCAACACCACCAAUCUUCAAAGAAGACUAGCAAUGCAUCCGCGGUGGUUAGUAUCAGUGCUUUAUCAUGGGCGCGCAUGUACGGGUACCAGAAUAUCAACUGGUUAUCCAUCGACUACGCCUGUCGGC